rnacentral:antisense_RNA from 1 species
GUGGUCAGAAAGGCGACGGGCUGUCGGAGUUGGAAAGACAGAGUUUUGCUCUUAUUGCCCAGGCUGGAGUGCAAUGGCACGAUCUCAGCUCACUGCAACCUCCGCCUCCCAGGUUCAAGCAAUUCUCCUGCCUCAGCCUCCCAAGUAGCUGGGAUUACAGGGCCUACUGCAGUGCAUGAAGGUGGUAUGGACUCAGAACUCUGAAGUCUGAGGAGACAAAUACAUGCCCACCAUAACAACAUCACACAAUACCUAGAGUCAAAACAGUUAUCCCUAUUCCUACCCCCAACUGAGUUAUUCAAUAAAGCCUGCAUUAUUGA